UCACUUUCUUUCUCUGUGUCUCUCUGCCUCUCUGGAACUCCUGAUCUUGAAGAGAGACAUUAAUGCUCCAUGGAUAUUUACAAAUCGACAAAAGUUCUUUCAUUAAAGGAUUUCAAAAAUUAUGGACCAGCAGGUGGUGUGCAGUUUUAGGCACUGGAUACCACAAGGCUAAUGGAGCAGUUCAUGUACAUGCACGUGUAAAAUCCCAAGGAGAGACUGGAGCACAGAAAAUUGCUGUGUGGCUGGCAGUUCCCCAUGGGCGAGGAUAACCUGAAAAGAAAAAAACACUGAUGAGUGUCCAAAUGCCAAAGGAAGUUCAAAGCCUUGAUUUCCAUCACUGACAAAACUCAUUGAAUCUGUACAUGGCUUUCCUGGGUCACGUCUCUAUAGCUCUGAAGAUUUGCUGUACAAAGGGUCUUCAAAGUUUACAGAAAAUGUGUAUUAUGAAAAACUAUGUGUGAAUUUC